rnacentral:rRNA from 1 species
AUUGAACGCUGGCGGCAGGCCUAACACAUGCAAGUCGAGCGGCGCGGGGGACGCGGGAGUAAUGCCUAGGAAUCUGCAUGGUAGUGGGGGAUAGCGUCCGCUAACGGGAACUAUUGCCACAUACUAUCAGAUUAGCAUAGGUCGGAUUAGCUAGUUGGUGGGGUAAAGGCCUACCAAGGCGACGAUCCAUAACGGGUCUGAGAGGAUGAGCAGUCACCCUGGAACUGAGACACGGUCCAGACUCCUACGGGAGGCAGCAGUGGGGAAUAUUGGACAAUGGGCGAAAGCCUGAUCCAGCCAUGCCGCGUGUGUGAAGAAGGUCUUCGGAUUGUAAAGCACUUUAAGUUGGGAGGCGUUACCAACAGAAUAAGCACCGGCUAACUUCGUGCCAGCAGCCGCGGUAAUAC